UACGAAGGGGGCUAGCGUUGCUCGGAAUCACUGGGCGUAAAGCGCACGUAGGCGGGUCUUUAAGUCAGGGGUGAAAUCCUGGAGCUCAACUCCAGAACUGCCUUUGAUACUGAGGAUCUCGAGUCCGGGAGAGGUGAGUGGAACUCCGAGUGUAGAGGUGAAAUUCGUAGAUAUUCGGAAGAACACCAGUGGCGAAGGCGGCUCACUGGCCCGGAACUGACGCUGAUGUACGAAAGCGUGGGGAGCAAACAGG
rnacentral:rRNA from 1 species